rnacentral:rRNA from 1 species
AACGAACGCUGGCGGCGUGCCUAACACAUGCAAGUCGAGCGGACUGCCGAGGGCAACCGAGGCGGUCAGCGGCGGACGGGUGAGUAACACGUGGGUAACCCACCUUGGGGACCGGGAUAACGGCGCGAAAGGGCCGCUAAUACCGGGUACGCUUCGGCGCGCACAAGCGCGGCGGAGGACAGGGGGGCGGCAACGCUCUCGCCCUGAGACGGGCCCGCGGCCCAUUAGCUAGUUGGGGGGGUAACGGCCCACCAAGGCGAUGAUGGGUAGCCGGUCUGAGAGGAUGGCCGGCCACACGGGGACUGAGAGACGGCCCCGACUCCUACGGGAGGCAGCAGUGGGGAAUCUUCCGCAAUGGGCGCAAGCCUGACGGAGCAACGCCGCGUGGGGGACGAAGGCCUUCGGGUCGUAAACCCCUGUCAGCGGGAAAGAAGGCGUGGGGGGUGAACAGUCCCUCAGGCUGACGGUACUCGCAGAGGAAGCCACGGCCAACUCCGUGC